rnacentral:rRNA from 1 species
UACGUAGGGGGCAAGCGUUAUCCGGAAUUACUGGGUGUAAAGGGGGCGCAGACGGCAGCGCAAGCCAGGAGUGAAAGCCCGGGGCCCAACCCCGGGACUGCUCUUGGAACUGCGCGGCUGGAGUGCAGGAGGGGCAGGCGGAAUUCCUGGUGUAGCGGUGAAAUGCGUAGAUAUAUGGAGGAACACCGGUGGCGAAAGCGGCUCUCUGGCCUGUAACUGACACUGAGGCUCGAAAGCGUGAGGAGCAAACAGG